AUUGAACGCUGGCGGCAUGCCUAACACAUACAAGUCGAACGGCAGCACAGUCUAGCUUGCUAGACGGGUGGCGAGUGGCGAACGGGUGAGUAACGCGUAGGAAUAUGGCUUAAAGAGUGGGACAACUUGGGGAAACUCAAGCUAAUACCGCAUAAGCUCUUAGGAGGAAAGCUGGGGACCUUCGGGCCUGGCGCUUUAAGAUUAGCCUGCGUCCGAUUAGCUAGUUGGUAGGGUAAGGGCCUACCAAGGCGACGAUCGGUAGCUGGUCUGAGAGGAUGACCAGCCACACUGGGACUGAGACACGGCCCAGACUCCUACGGGAGGCAGCAGUGGGGAAUAUUGGACAAUGGGGGCAACCCUGAUCCAGCAAUGCCGCGUGUGUGAAGAAGGCCUGAGGGUUGUAAAGCACCUUCAGUGGGGAGGAGAGAUGUCAGGUUAAGAGCUGGACAUUGAGACGUUACCCACAGAAGAAGCACCGGCUAACUCCGUGCCAGCAGCCGCCGUAA
rnacentral:rRNA from 1 species